CCCUUAGAUGUUCUGGGCUGCACGCGCGCGACAAUGACGUUUGCAACGAGAUUGCGAGGCCGUCAGGUCGAGCUGAUCUUGCAAGCUGCGUCGUGAUAGGGACAGUCGAUUGCAAUUAUUCGACUCGAACGAGGAAUUCCUUGUAAUCGCGCAUCAUCAGUGCGCGCUGAAUACGUCCCUGCCCUUUGUACACACCGCCCGUCGCUCCUACCGAUGGGUGAUCCGGUGAAUGAUUCGGACUUCAGCGGCUCCUCUGGGGUGCGCCGGAGAAAGUUUUGUGAACCUUAUCACUUGGAGGAAGGAGAAGUCGUAACA
rnacentral:rRNA from 1 species